AACGAACGCUGGCGGCAUGCCUAACACAUGCAAGUCGAACGAAGCCUUCGGGCUUAGUGGCGCACGGGUGCGUAACGCGUGGGAAUCUGCCCUUUGGUUCGGAAUAACAGUUGGAAACGACUGCUAAUACCGGAUGAUGACGAAAGUCCAAAGAUUUAUCGCCAGAGGAUGAGCCCGCGUAGGAUUAGCUAGUUGGUGUGGUAAAGGCGCACCAAGGCGACGAUCCUUAGCUGGUCUGAGAGGAUGAUCAGACACACUGGGACUGAGACACGGCCGAGACUCCUACGGGAGGCAGCAGUGGGGAAUAUUGGACAAUGGGGAAAGGCCUGAUCCAGCAAUGCCGCGUGAGUGAUGAAGGCCCUAGGGUUGUAAAGCUCUUUUACCCGGGAUGAUAAUGACAGUACCGGGAGAAUAAGCCCCGGCUAACUCCGUGCCAGCCGCCGCGGUAA
rnacentral:rRNA from 1 species